AUUGAACGCUGGCGGCAUGCUUUACACAUGCAAGUCGAACGGUAACAGGGAGCUUGCUCCGCUGACGAGUGGCGAACGGGUGAGUAAUGCAUCGGAACGUGCCGUGUAGUGGGGGAUAACGUAGCGAAAGUUACGCUAAUACCGCAUACGCCCUGAGGGGGAAAGUGGGGGACCGCAAGGCCUCACGCUAUACGAGCGGCCGAUGUCGGAUUAGCUAGUUGGUAGGGUAAAGGCCUACCAAGGCGACGAUCCGUAGCGGGUCUGAGAGGAUGAUCCGCCACACUGGGACUGAGACACGGCCCAGACUCCUACGGGAGGCAGCAGUGGGGAAUUUUGGACAAUGGGCGCAAGCCUGAUCCAGCCAUGCCGCGUGAGUGAAGAAGGCCUUCGGGUUGUAAAGCUCUUUCAGACGGAAAGAAAUCGGUGUGUCUAAUACACGCACUGGAUGACGGUACCGUAAGAAGAAGCACCGGCUAACUACGUG
rnacentral:rRNA from 1 species